rnacentral:sRNA from 1 species
UGAGAAGAUCCGGCGAGAAGUGAUGCGU